rnacentral:rRNA from 1 species
AGGGAAUCUUCCACAAUGUACGGAAGUCUGAUGGAGCACCGCCGCGUGAGUGAUGAAGGUGUUCUGAUCGUAAAAAUCUGUUGUAAGGGAAAAACCAGUACGGCAGGCAAUCGACGUACCUUUACGGUUACUUAUUAGAUAGCCACGGCCAACUACGUUCCAGCAGCCGCGGUAAUACGUAGGGGGCGAGCGUUGUCCGGAAUUCUGGGCGUAAAGGGUGGGUAGGUGGCCUUUUAAGUUGUAUGUGAAAACCCGGGCUUAACUUGGGGGGUGCAUAUGAUACUGGAGGGCUAGAGUGCAGGAGAGGGAAGCAGAAUUCCUGGUGUAGCGGUGAAAUGCGUAGAGAUUAGGAGGAACACCAGUGGCGAAGGCAGCUUUCUGGACUAUAACUGACACUGAGGCACGAAAGCGUGGGGAGCAAACA